ensembl:lncRNA
UCCAUUGUCUACAUAGUUGAUUUAGUCAUUUUAUUUACUUUUUGCCGGAGGAGUAGUAUGAGGCAGUUUGUAGGUGUUCUUAAAAGUUUAGAACUCAAUUAUUGCUUAUUCAAAGAAAAACUUCCUACAUGCUUAAUAACAUGUCCAUUUGAACUGCAUCAAAUUAACUUAAAUUAGAAUAAUUUAAAGUAAAAUAAGCACAUCACAGCAUACUUUCUUAUUUUUUAUUUAAAGGAUACCACACUUGAGGAAAGAUACAAGAAGAGGCCCAGUCUCUCUCUGGAACGUGAAGAACAGGAUGGGAUCUAAGAUGUGCUAAGUAGCUCAAGUGUGACCAUCACCCUAUGCUUGAGUCACCCAUCUGAGAAUUCCCAGGGCAAUGCUCAGCAUCACGGGAAACCAAGAAAUACUCAAAACAUUCUCAAGAUCUGAAAAUGAAACCGAACAGAGUCCGAUUAUAAGUGAGGUGAAAGGAGACGGGCCUUGAGCUAACACCUGUGCCAAUCCUCCUCUAUUUUUUGUAUGUGGGAUGCCUCCACAGCAUGGCCUACAAGUGGAGCAGAUCCAACCCUGGGACCCGAACCCACAAACCCAGGCUGCCAAAGCAGAGCACACAGAACUUUAACUACUCAGCCACCAGGAUGACACCACAGCAUGGCCUGAUGAGUGAUGAUAGAUCUGCACCCAAGAUCUGAACCUGUGAACCCUUGGCCGCUGAAGCAGAGUGCGUGAACUUAACCGCUAUGCAACCAGGCCAGCCCCCAGCUCUAAUUUUUAAAAGAAGAGAGCUGAUAUAAAUCUAUCCUACAUCUUGUGUGACUGAAAUAUUUAUUGAUUCCAACACACUGUGAAUGCUUAUUUAAAGAUUACCCCAUUAGUUAUUUCCACUGCACAUGUGCUCACAAACACACACACACACACUCUCAUGGAUUUCAGUUAUUAGUAUACAAUGCCUAAAUGUAUUGGUAGUCAACCCAAUGUAUAAAGUGACAAGGAUAUUUCUGGAACUUUUGAAAUUUUAAUAUUAUAAUGGAGUUCUUCUUCCUGUUUCCUCAAGAGUUUUCUGAUUCCCCUAGUGUGGUGGAUGAGUAAUGGCCCCUCAAAGAUGUGCACAUCCUACUCCCCAGAAUGUGAGCAUAUGUUACCUUACAUGGCAAAAGGGACUUUGUCAAUGUGAUUAAGUUAAGGAUCUUGAAAUCAGGAGAUUAUCCUGGAUUAUCCAAUUGUGCGUAAUAUAAUCACAAGGGUCUUAUAAGAGGUAGGAGUCAGAGAAGGUGAUGUGAUGACAGAGAUGGGGGAAAAAAGGAUAUGUGACAAUGGAAGCAGAUGUUGAAGUGAUACAGGGCUAUGAGCUGAGCAAUAUGGUAGCCUCGAGAAGCCAGACAGGCAAAGAAACAGAUUCUCUCCUACAGCAUCCAGAAGUUGCCCUGUUGACGAUUUUAUUUUAGCCCAAUGAAAUGCACUUUAGCCUUCUCAGCUCCAGAACUAGAAGAUGAUAUACUUGCCUUAUUUUAAGCCAUUAAUUUUGUAGCAAUUUGUUACAGCAGCAAAAGGAAAGAAUACACCUAGCAUUAGUAUUUUCUAGCUUAACUCUCCAGUUUUAUCAGAUGAUGUCCCCAGUGAAUCAUUAUCUUCUCUGAAUAUAUUACUCCACUGGGAGUCUCAAACAGGCAGUCCACAUGUCCUUAUUCUGGACAGCCUGUUUAUUCCAGGAGACUCUAUACAUUCAUUCACCUUCAUGGAGUACAUGCAAUAAGUUGGUUUAGGCUUGGCUUUAAAUAGACCAAAUAGCCACAUUUUUUUUACCUUCGUACUACGUGAAACUGGAGACUACAAUCCAAGAUAGUGGCUUUUGCUAGGAGACAUAUAUAUAACACAAAAAUAACUGGAAACUUUAGCAAAUAAUAAAAAUCUUUGGUCACUUUAGCAAAUCACAUUUUCAACACAUGUAUAAGUAUGCCCAUAUAUGUUUUUACAAAAGUUAUACAUUUUUAAUGUAUAUAAUGCUUUGGCCUUUCUCUUCUAUAUUUUAAUCUUAACGACAGAAGGCUAUACAAAUAGUGGUCAAAUUACUACAGAAAAUAUUUUGUGAAGGUGAUAAAUUAACUUAUUAAUCCAUCAUCUUCUAUGUAGAAACUACUAUACUCAACAUAGCAAAGAAUACUAUAGUAAUUGUGGUCCCUGCCUCAAAUGAAUAAAAAAAAUCUUGUUAAAUUGGGAGGGCACAGUCUUUAUGGCAAUGAGUAAAAUUGUGACCCAAUCAUUUUGACAAAAUUAUUGAAAACUCUAUUGUAAAUAUAGUAGCAGAUUAGAACUACCUGAUCUUUUGUUUCCAAUGUUCCAAUAAAGAUGUAUGAAAAUUCACAAAAGGAUAAAAACUGGAAAUACUAGUAAGAA